UAUAGUUUAUUUGAUAGUACCUUACUACUUGGAUAACCGUAGUAAUUCUAGAGCUAAUACAUGCAUAAAACCCCAACUGCCUGUGCGGACGGGAUGUAUUUAUUAGAUCGAAACCAAUGCAGGGGCGACCCUGGUAUUGUGAUGAUUCAUAAUAACUGUGCGAAUCGCAUGGCCCUGAGCCGGCGAUAAAUCAUUCAAGUUUCUGCCCUAUCAGCUUUCGAUGGUAGGGUAUUGGCCUACCAUGGCGUUAACGGGUAACGGAGAAUUAGGGUUCGAUUCCGGAGAGGGAGCCUGAGAGACGGCUACCACA
rnacentral:rRNA from 1 species